rnacentral:rRNA from 1 species
UACGUAGGGUGCAAGCGUUGUCCGGAAUUAUUGGGCGUAAAGAGCUCGUAGGCGGUUUGUUGCGUCGGCUGUGAAAUCCCGAGGCUCAACCUCGGGUCUGCAGUCGAUACGAGCAAACUAGAGUGUUGCAGGGGAGACUGGAAUUCCUGGUGUAGCGGUGAAAUGACGCAGACUAGUCAGGAGGAACACCGGUGGCGAAGGCGGUUCUCUGGGCGAUGUCC